rnacentral:rRNA from 1 species
UACGAAGGGGGCUAGCGUUGCUCGGAAUGACUGGGCGUAAAGGGUGCGUAGGCGGGUCUUUAAGUCAGGGGUGAAAUCCUGGAGCUCAACUCCAGAACUGCCCUUGAUACUGAAGAUCUUGAGUUCGGGAGAGGUGAGUGGAACUGCGAGUGUAGAGGUGAAAUUCGUAGAUAUUCGCAAGAACACCAGUGGCGAAGGCGGCUCACUGGCCCGAUACUGACGCUGAGGCACGAAAGCGUGGGGAGCAAACAGG